GUAGAUGUUGGUGAAGUGAAGGACAUUCCUGAAAUAAACAAGGAAUUUUUACAUGAUGAUAUUUUGGAGCCUAUAGGCAAGCAGAGGAGUACCAUCAUUAAUGAAAACAUCCUGUGGACAUCUCCAGUCCCUUACCUCUUAAAUAAUGACCUUGACAUUAAUUCUAAAGGAGUCAUUCUGAGAGCCUUUGACCAGUUCAGGUUGAAAUCAUGCAUUGACUUCAAACCAAGGGACUCUGAGGACUAUUACAUUUCUGUCAAACAGUUAAAUGGG